UCGAGCGGUAGAGAGAAGCUUGCUUCUCUUGAGAGCGGCGGACGGGUGAGUAAUGCCUAGGAAUCUGCCUAGUGGUGGGGGAUAACGUUCGGAAACGGACGCUAAUACCGCAUACGUCCUACGGGAGAAAGCGGGGGAUCUUCGGACCUCGCGCCAUUAGAUGAGCCUAGGUCGGAUUAGCUAGUUGGUGAGGUAAUGGCUCACCAAGGCGACGAUCCGUAACUGGUCUGAGAGGAUGAUCAGUCACACUGGAACUGAGACACGGUCCAGACUCCUACGGGAGGCAGCAGUGGGGAAUAUUGGACAAUGGGCGAAAGCCUGAUCCAGCCAUGCCGCGUGUGUGAAGAAGGUCUUCGGAUUGUAAAGCACUUUAAGUUGGGAGGAAGGACAGUAACCUAAUACGUUAUUGUUUUGACGUUACCGACAGAAUAAGCACCGGCUAACUUCGUGCCAGCAGCCGCGGUAAUACGAAGGGUGCAAGCGUUAAUCGGAAUUACUGGGCGUAAAGCGCGCGUAGGUGGUUCAGUAAGUUGGAAGUGAAAUCCCCGGGCUCAACCUGGGAACUGCUUUCAAAACUGCUAAGCUAGAGUACGGUAGAGGGUGGUGGAAUUUCCUGUGUAGCGGUGAAGUGCGUAGAUAUAGGAAGGAACACCAGUGGCGAAGGCGACCACCUGGACUGAUACUGACACUGAGGUGCGAAAGCGUGGGGAGCAAACAGGAUUAGAUACCCUGGUAGUCCACGCCGUAAACGAUGUCAACUAGCCGUUGGGAGUCUUGAACUCUUAGUGGCGCAGCUAACGCAUUAAGUUG
rnacentral:rRNA from 1 species